AGUGAACGCUGGCGGUAGGCCUAACACAUGCAAGUCGAACGGCAGCACAGUAAGAGCUUGCUCUUACGGGUGGCGAGUGGCGGACGGGUGAGGAAUACAUCGGAAUCUACUUUUUCGUGGGGGAUAACGUCGGGAAACUUACGCUAAUACCGCAUACGACCUACGGGUGAAAGCAGGGGAUCUUCGGACCUUGCGCGAUUGAAUGAGCCGAUGUCGGAUUAGCUAGUUGGCGGGGUAAAGGCCCACCAAGGCGACGAUCCGUAGCUGGUCUGAGAGGAUGAUUCGACACACUGGAACUGAGACACGGUCCACACUCCUACGGGAGGCAACAGUGGGGAAUAUUGGACAAUGGGCGCAAGCCUGAUCCAGCCAAACCGCGUGGGUGAAGAAGGCCUUCGGGUUGUAAAGCACUUUUGUUGGGAAAGAAAAGCAGCAGGUUAAUACCCCGCUGUUCUGACGGUACCCAAAGAAUAAGCACCGGCUAACUUCGUG
rnacentral:rRNA from 1 species